CUUGAGCUAAUCUCUGUAGGAAGGUUGGUAAUUACAGUCUCCAAAAGCUCUCUCUGUUCAUUCUCCGAUGGUAUCGAAGACGACGAUGUCUUCCUACUUGAGCGUGAAAUUCCUGGAAUGUACUUCUUCGCAUAAUACAUUAGACAGCUCUCGAUAACUUCUGAACACAAAUCUCUACUUUUCAUUGCAGAAAUCAAACGCUUGAACAAAGGCAAGCUCAAGUGCCCUAGCUCUUCGAACCAUGAAUCCAUACCACCUCCUCUGUUGGCACCUUUACGGCGAGUACUUGCUUCAACUCCAUUUCCAGGGCCG
rnacentral:misc_RNA from 1 species